rnacentral:rRNA from 1 species
GACGAACGCUGGCGGCGUGCUUAACACAUGCAAGUCGAGGGCACGGGGCAACCCGUGACCGGCGAACGGGUGCGUAACACGUCAGCGACCUGCCGAUCCGCGGGGGAUAGCCGGCCCAACGGCCGGGUAAUACCGCAUACGCCCUCCUGUCGGCAUCGCCGGGGGCGGAAACCUCCGGGGCGGAAUGGGGGGCUCGCGGCCUAUCAGCUAGUUGGUGCGGUAACGGCGCACCAAGGCGACGACGGGUAGCUGGUCUGAGAGGAUGGCCAGCCACAUUGGGACUGAGAGACGGCCCAGACUCCUACGGGGGGCAGCAGUGGGGAAUCUUGCGCAAUGGCCGCAAGGCUGACGCAGCGACGCCGCGUGUGGGAGGACGCCCCUCGGGGUGUAAACCACUGUUGCCCGGGACGAACGAGCGCUUUCGAGCGCUGUGACGGUACCGGGUGAGGAAGCACCGGCUAACUCCGUGCCAGCAGCCGCCGUAA